AUGUCCUCAAGUCGUUCUUUCAUUCAAGCACCAUUCUCAUCUAUAAAAUCAGGCACACGAUUAUAUCUGCAGUUCCUCUUUUGUCUAAUUGGCCGGAGAAUCAGGAAAGCUUAUGUGCAAGGUUGCUUAAGGCAAAAAACGCAGGUGUAUUAUUGCUGGACAAAAUUUGGCUUACCAGCCCCCCUCCACUCGCCCCCGCAUCGCCCCCGGGCGACACGGGGGAACCCUAGCGCCGCCGCCGCCGGAUCCCCCUCGCCCCCUCCCUCGCUUCGCCGCCGCUGGAGGGGCCGUCGGCAAAGUCCGCGCGCGCCCCAGGGAAGGUGGCGCGCGGGGCAUUUCCCCUCUCCGCGGCGUUGCGCGCGCAUGUGUUGCCUGUGUUGCCUCGGGCGCGGGCGAGAUGCAGGGCCGCGGGAGUGGCUUCAGCGCGGGAAGAGGCCGGAUCCUAGCCGGGCUUGGCCGGAUCUAGCUUCUUCGUCCCCGUUGGCCGCCCUCGAUGGGGCUCGGUGGCUUCGUUCCGGCGGCCAGCGAGGGCUGGAUCCCGGGGCGGCGGCCUCGGACGGCGGAGGAUGUGUCGGCGGCUGUGGACUCGCAACGGGCGACGCGGCGGCGACGGUGGUGGACAAUCGUGCACAAAACGCUGGAUGGAGGCCAUUGGAACAGAUCUGGGUGAAGACCUGCUUGCGGCUGCAGCCGAGGCCGGCGAUGGCGGCACUAUUCGGCGUCGUUCCUUUGUUGAAGGCAUCGCUGUUGAGAAGUUUCAGGCCACUAUCUGCUACCUCCGGGGGAAACCCUAGAUCAGUAGAUUGGAUGACGACAGCAUUAUUGUGUCGUUUUCCCUCUUGUGGCGUCAUUCUUGGAGGUGUACAUGGGCUCGAGGGACGAGUGGACGGAAUAAUUGGUGGAGCGGUGUUCCAUCCUGCACAUUAA
rnacentral:rRNA from 1 species